rnacentral:lncRNA from 1 species
GUAUGUUUCAUGAGAUAUCCUGCUUGCUUUGUGCAUACUGACACCAAUUCCUAACAAGGAAAAUUUGGGCUGAACAUACUGAGGGAUGAUAUCAAGUGGACAAUCAGAAACAUCAAUUAAUGCAAAGCCUCAUUUAAUGCAACGGUAUUAUUACCUACAGGACUUGUUAUUCCUGAUUGUUUUAUGAUGUUACUGUUGUACACUGCGUGUGCCUGAUUCUGCUACAUGGGAUUUGAGAUGCAGAAAGAUUCUUCCACCCUCCAUUAUUCUCUCUCAGCAGUGGGAGUGAUCAUUAACACUGGACAAAGAAACUAGAAAAUCCCAUCCAUGCUGGUGAGAGCAUUCUCUGUUCACACUGAAAAGCAUCAGGGAUACGCCUUCGGAGGACACGUGCAUAGGACCAAACAACAACCACACAGGAGAAGAAAAGCAGUCUUUGCCUUGGGAAUACAGAGAGUACUUUGUCUUAAUGGCAGUGAUUGCCUGGCAUGGAAGGACCUGGGGGAAGACAGAACACUGAAGGUGGCUGGCAG